rnacentral:rRNA from 1 species
CCAGCCUGCCCAGUGACUACAAGUUCAACGGCCGCGGUAUUUUGACCGUGCAAAGGUAGCGCAAUCACUUGUCUUUUAAAUGAAGACCUGUAUGAAUGGCCAAACGAGGGCUUAGCUGUCUCCCCCAUCAAGUCAGUGAAAUUGAUCUAUCCGUGCAGAAGCGGGUAUUUAUAUACAAGACGAGAAGACCCUUUGGAGCUUAAGGUACAAACCCACCUACGUUAAACAGCUUUCUAAACAAGCAUUAACCUAAUAGAACAUGGAGUUUUACCUUCGGUUGGGGCGACCACGGAGAACAAAAAAUCCUCCAAGUGGACUGGGAACUUCCCUAAAACCAAGAAAGACAUUUCCAAGUCACAGAAAAUCUGACCAAACAUGAUCCGGCCACCCAGGCCGAUCAACGGACCAAGUUACCCUAGGGAUAACAGCGCAAUCCCCUCCAAGAGUCCAUAUCGACGAGAGGGUUUACGACCUCGAUGUUGGAUCAGGACAUCCUAAUGGUGCAGCCGCUAUUAAGGGUUCGUUUGUUCAACGAUUAAAGUCCUACGUGAUCUGAGUUCAGACCGG